AAAAUAUCCCUGAAAAAUGAGGGCUGUGUUCACCUUUAAUACUUAAAAAUCACUUGGAGGCAGUUCAAUUGAGCAUGAGUAUGUGUUUGCAAGAAAGUAAAACACAACCAGAGUGGUCACCUUCUUCCCCCGAGUGCGCAGCUUCUGGAGGGAUGCACAUGGAGCAGUGAGGGAGGAAGAGGACACCUGCCUAGCCAGCCAGAUCAGCCGAAUCAACCCUGGUGAUCAAUGGAGUGACAGAUG
rnacentral:lncRNA from 10 species